UAUAGCUCAGUGGUAGAGCGCAUGCUUAGCAUGCCUGAGGUCAUGGGUUCGAUCCCCAUUA
rfam:Camelus ferus unplaced genomic scaffold scaffold406, whole genome shotgun sequence.